rnacentral:tRNA from 1 species
GCCUGGCUGGCUCAGUUGGUAGAGUAUGAGACUCUUGAUCUCAGGGCUGUGAGUUUGAGCCCACAUAGGGCA